rnacentral:rRNA from 1 species
GACGAACGCUGGCGGCGUGCCUAAUACAUGCAAGUAGAACGCUGAAGGAGGAGCUUGCUUCUCUGGAUGAGUUGCGAACGGGCGAGUAACGCGUAGGUAACCUGCCUGGUAGCGGGGGAUAACUAUUGGAAACGAUAGCUAAUACCGCAUAACAGUAGAUAUCGCAUGAUAUCUACUUGAAAGGUGCAAUUGCAUCACUACCAGAUGGACCUGCGUUGUAUUAGCUAGUUGGUGAGGUAACGGCUCACCAAGGCGACGAUACAUAGUCGACCUGAGAGGGUGAUCGGCCACACUGGGACUGAGACACGGCCCAGACUCCUACGGGAGGCAGCAGUAGGGAAUCUUCGGCAAUGGACGGAAGUCUGACCGAGCAACGCCGCGUGAGUGAAGAAGGUUUUCGGAUCGUAAAGCUCUGUUGUAAGAGAAGAACGAGUGUGAGAGUGGAAAGUUCACACUGUGACGGUAUCUUACCAGAAAGGGACGGCUAACUACGUG